rnacentral:rRNA from 1 species
AUUGAACGCUGGCGGCAUGCCUUACACAUGCAAGUCGAACGGUAACAGGUCUUCGGAUGCUGACGAGUGGCGAACGGGUGAGUAAUACAUCGGAACGUGCCCGAUCGUGGGGGAUAACGAAGCGAAAGCUUUGCUAAUACCGCAUACGACCUACGGAUGAAAGCAGGGGACCGCAAGGCCUUGCGCGAACGGAGCGGCCGAUGGCAGAUUAGGUAGUUGGUGGGAUAAAAGCUUACCAAGCCGACGAUCUGUAGCUGGUCUGAGAGGACGACCAGCCACACUGGGACUGAGACACGGCCCAGACUCCUACGGGAGGCAGCAGUGGGGAAUUUUGGACAAUGGGCGAAAGCCUGAUCCAGCCAUGCCGCGUGCAGGAUGAAGGCCUUCGGAUUGUAAACUGCUUUUGUACGGAACGAAAAGACUCUGGUUAAUACCUGGGGUCCAUGACGGUACCGUAAGAAUAAGCACCGGCUAACUACGUGCCAGCAGCCGCCGCGG